rnacentral:rRNA from 1 species
UACGAAGGGGGCUAGCGUUGCUCGGAAUCACUGGGCGUAAAGGGUGCGUAGGCGGGUCUUUAAGUCAGGGGUGAAAUCCUGGAGCUCAACUCCAGAACUGCCUUUGAUACUGAAGAUCUUGAGUUCGGGAGAGGUGAGUGGAACUGCGAGUGUAGAGGUGAAAUUCGUAGAUAUUCGCAAGAACACCAGUGGCGAAGGCGGCUCACUGGCCCGAUACUGACGCUGAGACGCGAAAGCGUGGGGAGCAACAGG